rnacentral:rRNA from 1 species
AUUAACGCGAAGAACCUUACCCAGAUUUGCAUAUAGGUGGUAGUGAACCGAAAGGGGAACGACCCGCAAGGGAGCCUAUACAGGUGUUGCAUGGCUGUCGUCAGCUCGUGUCGUGAGAUGUUGGUUUAAGUACCCUAACGAGCGCAACCCUUACUGCCAGUUACAAGUGUCUGGCGGGACUGCCGGCCACAAGCCGGAGGAAGGCGAGGAUGAUGUCAAGUCAGCAUGGCCUUUAUACCUGGGGCUACACACACGCUACAAUGGGUGACCACAAUGGGUAGCCAAGCCGUGAGGCGGAGCCAAUCCUCAAAAUCACCCUCAGUUCAGAUUGCAGGCUGCAACCCGCCUGCAUGAAGUCGGAGUUGCUAGUAAACGCGCGUCAGCCAUAGUGCGUUGAAUACGUUCCCGGGCCUUGUACACACCGAAU